rnacentral:rRNA from 1 species
GAAGCAGCCAUCAUUUAAAGAAAGCGUAAUAGCUCACUAGUCGAGUCGGCCUGCGCGGAAGAUGUAACGGGGCUAAGUUGUAAACCGAAGCUGCGGCAAUGUUCUUUGAACAUUGGGUAGGGGAGCGUUCUGUAAGCCGUUGAAGGUGUGUUGUAAAGCAUGCUGGAGGUAUCAGAAGUGCGAAUGCUGACAUGAGUAACGACAAGGGGGGUGAAAAACCUCCCCGCCGGAAGACCAAGGGUUCCUGUCCAACGUUAAUCGGGGCAGGGUAAGUCGACCCCUAAGGCGAGGCCGAAAGGCGUAGUCGAUGGGAAACGGGUUAAUAUUCCCGUACUUCUUACAAUUGCGAUGGGGGGACGGAGAAGGCUAGGUGGGCCUGGCGACGGUUGUCCAGGUUCAAGUGCGUAGGCUGAGUGUUUAGGUAAAUCCGGACACUCUUAAGGCUGAGACACGACGUCGAGCUACUACGGUAGUGAAGUCAUUGAUGCCAUGCUUCCAGGAAAAGCCUCUAAGCUUCAGA